rnacentral:lncRNA from 1 species
GCUGGACGUCCGAGAUGACAGCGUUAGCAGAAUUGUUUUCUUUUAGCAGGCGCUGGGGGACAGUCUGCUCCCUGCCUCUCUCUGAGCUGGUGGUGGUUGCCAGCAAUGCUUGACUUGUAGAUGCAUCACUCCAAACUCUGCCUCCAUCUUCACAGAGCCAUCCUCCCUGCCUGUGUCUGUGACUUUGUUUUCUCAGCACUGGAUUAGGACCCACCGUCUUCCCGCCACUCCUCACUAUAACUGAAUACAAGUCCACAAAGACUCUACUGCAGAUAAAUUCCCAUUCACAGGGAGUUCAGAUCCCUGCUUAUCUUUUAGGAGGACACAGUUCAACCGAGAGAGCUUCCAAAAAUUCACUAUCAAGAACCCACCAUCCAGUUGAGAAGAGAGGUUCAUGAGGCCCAGCCUGGACACCGACUGCCAAGACAGUUAAGGGACAGUUCCUUCAUAACUCGUGU